AUUGAACGCUGGCGGCAUGCUUUACACAUGCAAGUCGAACGGCAGCGCGGGCUUCGGCCUGGCGGCGAGUGGCGAACGGGUGAGUAAUACAUCGGAACGUGCCCAGUAGUGGGGGAUAGCACGGCGAAAGCCGGAUUAAUACCGCAUACGACCUGAGGGUGAAAGCGGGGGAUCUUCGGACCUCGCGCUAUUGGAGCGGCCGAUGGCAGAUUAGCUAGUUGGUGGGGUAAAGGCCUACCAAGGCGACGAUCUGUAGCUGGUCUGAGAGGACGACCAGCCACACUGGGACUGAGACACGGCCCAGACUCCUACGGGAGGCAGCAGUGGGGAAUGUUGGACAAUGGGCGAAAGCCUGAUCCAGCAAUGCCGCGUGUGUGAUGAAGGCCUUCGGGUUGUAAAGCACUUUUGGCGGGAACGAAAAGGACUGUGCCAAUACCACGGUUCGAUGACGGUACCCGCAGAAUAAGCACCGGCUAACUACGUG
rnacentral:rRNA from 1 species